rnacentral:tRNA from 1 species
GAAAAAUUAGUUAAUUAUAAUAUUAAUUUGUCAAAUUAAAGUUACUCAAGUAUUUUUCU